UCAGCAAGUCAUCAAAUCGCCUAGCACACAUUCGGAAAUAAGAGAAAGUGGACCCCCUCGUCUAAACUCGCAUUUGCCGAAUGUACAGGCAAAACUCUCCAUUCUCCGUCCUACUCUGAUUUAGAGGGCGAACGUACCAUCUUCUUCGCCUUUUUUUCUUCUUUCGCAUAUCUAGAUAAACUAAAGGCACUUUAAACUGUUUGUUUUGUGUUGUGAUCUCGCGUAGCCCUUCUCUUUGUACAUCCAUGGCGUAGCCACAAGACGGAGGUCUGGUUGAGAUUCCAGCCCCGGUUAAUAGCUGCCUCGUAAUUAUUCACGCCCCAGAGGCGUGGAGUGACUUUAAACGGUGCGGUGUUCUCACUGAGUAUACCGACAACAGUGUUCGUGGACAUGCUCGCCGGUGGUUCUCAAUCCUGAAGUUCUUUCUUCUUACUGAGUAUACUGCCAGCUUAAAGUAUACUUUAAGUGUAUUGUGGCUGUGUACUUCAGAACACUGGAUUUGAAUUGAAAUCACGAGGUUAAAGUGCAGACGGUCAGCUUUGAGGCGAUUUUCAGUUUCUGUUCAUUUUGGGGAUAUUUUUGCAUUGGGAAAUUCACUCGGCCAGUCAAGAACGUUCCACUUUUUGGUCCCUUGGGUGUGUUUGGGGUCAUUCCCCUGCUGUAAGUCGAAUGAGUUUUGAAGCAUUUCCUUCUCAGCAGAUGUUGGUUACUUAGUCCACUUGUUUAUCCCACAGUGGGGAAAUUCCUUUGGCUCCAACACACAAUAUAUGAAGGACUUAAAAACAUCAACAGACAGUACACAAUGGGCAGAUGUAUUUGGCUCCAACAUGCAACACAAAAGUCUUUAAAAAAAAACAAACAAAA